rnacentral:rRNA from 1 species
CUGAGAAUAAUGCCCGAUAGAACACUAUACCUGGAAUGGUUUGUGUUCCAAAUGAUUUAUCGCCGUAGGAUGGGACUGCGGCCUAUCAGUUUGUUGGUGAGGUAAUGGCCCACCAAGACUAUUACAGGUACGGGCUCUGAGAGGAGUAGCCCGGAGAUGGGUACUGAGACACGGACCCAGGCCCUAUGGGGCGCAGCAGGCGAGAAAACUUUGCAAUGUGCGAAAGCACGACAAGGUUAAUCCGAGUGGUUUGUGCUAAACGAACCUUUUGUCGGUCCUAGAAACACCGAUGAAUAAGGGGUGGGCAAGUUCUGGUGUCAGCCGCCGCGGUAAAACCAGCACCUCAAGUGGUCAGGAUGAUUAUUGGGCCUAAAGCAUCCGUAGCCGGCUCUGUAAGUUUUCGGUCAAAUCUGUACGCUCAACGUACAGGCUGCCGGGAAUACUGCAGAGCUAGGGAGUGGGAGAGGUAGACGGUACUCGGUAGGAAGGGGUAAAAUCCUUUGAUCUAUUGAUGACCACCUGUGGCGAAGGCGGUCUACCAGAACACGUCCGACGGUGAGGGAUGAAAGCUGGGGGAGCAAACCGGAUUAGAUACCCGGGUAGUCCCAGCUGUAAACUAUGCAAACUCAGUGAUGCAUUGGCUUGUGGCCAAUGCAGUGCUGCAGGGAAGCCGUUAAGUUUGCCGCCUGGGAAGUACGUACGCAAGUAUGAAACUUAAAGGAAUUGGCGGGGGAGCACCACAAGGGGUGAAGCCUGCGGUUCAAUUGGAUUCAACGCCGGAAAGGG